UACAGAGGGUGCGAGCGUUGUUCGGAAUUAUUGGGCGUAAAGAGCUCGUAGGCGGUGUGUCGCGUCGGCCGUGAAAACCUGCAGCUUAACUGUGGGCGUGCGGUCGAUACGGGCAUCACUGGAGUUCGGCAGGGGAGACUGGAAUUCCUGGUGUAGCGGUGAAAUGCGCAGAUAUCAGGAGGAACACCGGUGGCGAAGGCGGGUCUCUGGGCCGAUACUGACGCUGAGGAGCGAAAGCGUGGGGAGCAAACAGG
rnacentral:rRNA from 1 species